UACGAAGGGGGCUAGCGUUGCUCGGAAUCACUGGGCGUAAAGCGCACGUAGGCGGAUUGCUAAGUCAGGGGUGAAAUCCUGGAGCUCAACUCCAGGACUGCCUUUGAUACUGGAGAGCUUGAGUCCGGAAGAGGUGAGUGGAACUCCGAGUGUAGAGGUGAAAUUCGUAGAUAUUCGGAAGAACACCAGUGGCGAAGGCGGCUCACUGGUCCGGUACUGACGCUGAUGUGCGAAAGCAUGGGUAGCGAACAGG
rnacentral:rRNA from 1 species